CGCCACCUGCAGCCCGAGGCUUCUGUAAAGCACUGGAGCCCCGCAACUAGCCUCUCACCUGCCCUCUUAGGCGCCGCGCCAUUUUAGCAACGCGGAAGCCGGGAGCCGGGAAGCCUCAGCUCGGCUGAAGGCCUCAGCCCGCCUGAAAGCAGGUCCCCUUUGCCGCCUCCCGGAGGCCAGGUUUCCCUGAGUCCUUGGGACGCAGCGACGAGUUGUACUGUUACUUUAGCCGUCCCUUUAGACUGGCCAUUCCAGGUGGUGGUAUUUAGAUAAAACCACUCAAACCCUGCAGUUUGGUCUUGGGGUUUGGAGGAAAGCUCUUAUUUUUUUUCCUGCUCCGGUUCAGAAAGUCUGAAGCUCAGACCUAACCAGGCAUAAAACAGAAUCUGCAAAACAAAAAUCUCUAGAAAAGCAGACCCAGAGCAGUGUAAACAUUCCAGGGUGUGUCCCUGACUGCCUCCCCAAGGUCCCUGUGUCUUCGGAGACAAAGCCAUUCGCUUAGUUGGGCUACUUUAAAAGGCCACUUGAACUUGCUUUCUAUGGCGAUUUGCCUUGUGAGCACUUUCAGGAGAGCCUGCAAGCUGAAAAACGGUAGAAAAAUUUCUGUGCGGGCCGUGAGGGGCUGGCGGCAACCGGGGGCCGCAGAUCAGAGUGGGCCACUGGCAACCAACGGACCCGGGGGCUCAGGCGGGGAAGCAGCUCUGUGGUGUGGGAUUGAGGCGUUUUCCAAGAGUGGGUUUUCACGUUUCUAAGACUUCCCAAGCAGACAGCCCGUGCUGCUCGGAUUUCUCGAAUAAAAAAGCAAAACGUGUGGCUGUCUUUGGAGCAAGUCGCACGACUGCAGGCAGUUGGGGGAGAGAGUCCGCCAUUUCGCCACUUCUCAACCGUCCCUGCAAGGCUGGGGCUCAGUUGCGUAAUGGAAAGUAAAGCCCUGAACUAUCACACCUUAAUCUUCCUUCAAAGGGUAGUAAACUAUACCUACUAUCCCUCAAGACAACACAAAAAGUGCUUUAAGAGGCGGCGGAAGGUGAUCGAAUUCCGGUGAUGCGAGUUGUACUCCGCCUAUAAAUACGCCUCGGCCGGGAGGUGAGGUAGGCAUUGAGGCAGCCAGCGCAGGGGUUGCUGCUGAGAGGGCGGGCGCAGCUUGAGGAAACCGCAGAUAAGUUUUUUUCUCUUUGAAAGAGAGAGUAAUACAACUGCUUAAGAAAUAUAGUCAAUAGGUUACUAAGAUAUUGCUUAGCGUUAAGUUCUUAAUGUAAUUUUAAUAACUUAAGAUUUUAAGAGAAAAUAUGAAGACUUAAAGAGUAGCAUGAGGAAGGAAAAGAUAAAAAGGUUUCUAAAACAUGACGGCGGUUGAGAUGAAGCUUCUUCAUGGAGUGAAAAAAUGUAUUUGAAAGAAAAUCGAGAGAAAGGACUACAGAGCCCUGAAUUAAUACCAGUAGAAGGGCAAUGCUUUUAGAUUAAAAUGAAGGUGACUUAAACAGCUUAAAGUUUACUUUAAAAGUUGUAGGUGAUUAAAAUAAUUUGAAGGCGAUCAUUUAAAGAGAUUAAACCGAAGGUGAUUAAAAGACCUUGAAAUCCAUGACGCAGGGAGAAUUGCGUCAUUUAAAGCCUAGUUAACGCAUUUACUAAACGCAGACGAAAAUGGAAAGAUUAAUUGGGAGUGGUAGGAUGAAACAAUUUGGAGAAGAUGAGAAGUUUGAAGUGGAAAACUGGAAGACAGAAGUACAGGAAGGCGAAGAAAAGAAUAGAGAAGAUAGGGAAAUUAGAAGAUAAAAACAUACUUUUAGAAGAAAAAUAAGUUUAAACCUGAAAGGAAGCAGAAGAAAAAAAUUAGACAAGCUAGGAAACAAAAAACUGAGGGCAAAAUGUACAAACUUAGAAGAAAACUGGAAGAUAGAAACAAGAUAGAAAAAAUAUUGUCAAGAGUUUAAGAUAGAAAAUGAAAAACAGAAGCUAAGACAAGUAUUGGAGAAGCAUAGAAGAUAGAAAAAUAUAAAGCCAAAAAUUGGAUAAAAUAGCACUGAAAAAAUGAGGAAGUUAUUGGUAACCAAUUUAUUUUAAAAGCCCAUCAAUUUAAUUUCUGGUGGUGCAGAAGUUAGAAGGUAAAGCUUGAGAAGAUGAGGGUAUUUACGUAGACCAGAACCAAUUUAGAAGAAUAUUUGAAGCUAGAAGGGGAAGUUGGUUAAAAAUCACAUCAAAAAGCUACUAAAAGGACUGGUGUAAUUUAAAAAAACUAAGGCAGAAGGCUUUUGGAAGAGUUAGAAGAAUUUGGAAGGCCUUAAAUACAGUAGCUUAGUUUGAAAAAUUUGAAGGAUUUUUGGUAACGGAAGUAAUUCAAGAUCAAGAGUAAUUACCAACUUAAUGUUUUUGCAUUGGACUUUGAGUUAAGAUUAUUUUUUAAAUCCUGAGGACUAGCAUUGACAGCUGACCCAGGUGCUACACAGAAGUGGAUUCAGUGAAUCUAGGAAGACAGCAGCAGACAGGAUUCCAGGAACCAGUGUUUGAUGAAGCUAGGACUGAGGAGCAAGCAGCAGUUCGUGAAGAUAGGAAGAGAGUCCAGGAGCCAGUGCGAUUUGGUGAAGGAAGCUAGGAAGAAGGAAGGAGCGCUAACGAUUUGGUGGUGAAGCUAGGCAAAAGGAUUCCAGGAAGGAGCGAGUGCGAUUUGGUGAUGAAGCUAGCAGGCGGCUUGGCUUGGCAACCACACGGAGGAGGCGAGCAGGCGUUGUGCGUAGAUAGAGGAUCCUAGACCAGCAUGCCAGUGUGCCAAGGCCACAGGGAAAGCGAGUGGUUGGUAAAAAUCCGUGAGGUCGGCAAUAUGUUGUUUUUCUGGAACUUGAGUAUGGUAACUUUUUAUUUACUUUUCUAAUGUAAUGGGGGAGUUUCGUACUGAGGUGUAAAGGGAUUUAAAUGGGGACGUAGGCCGAUUUCCGGGUGUUGUAGGUUUCUCUUUUUCAGGCUUAUACUCAUGAAUCUUGUCUGAAGCUUUUGAGGGCAGACUGCCAAGUCCUGGAGAAAUAGUAGAUGGCAAGUUUGUGGUUUUGUUUUUUUUUUACGAAUUUGAGGAAAACCAAAUGAAUUUGAUAGCCAAAAUUGAGACAAUUUCAGCAAAUCUGUAAGCAGUUUGUAUGUUUAGUUGGGGUAAUGAAGUAUUUCAGUUUUGUCAAUGGGUGACCUGUUUUUACUUCUCACCCUGAAUUCGUUUUGUAAAUAUAGAGUUUGGAUGUGUAACUGAGGCGGGGGGCGGGGGGGUAGUUUUCAGUAUUUUUUUUUUUUGUGGGGGUGGGGGCAAAAUAUGUUUUCAGUUCUUUUUCCCUUAGGUCUGUCUAGAAUCCUAAAGGCAAAUGACUCAAGGUGUAACAGAAAACAAGAAAAUCCAAUAUCAGGAUAAUCAGACCACCACAGGUUUACAGUUUAUAGAAACUAGAGCAGUUCUCACGUUGAGGUCUGUGGAAGAGAUGUCCAUUGGAGAAAUGGCUGGUAGUUACUCUUUUUUCCCCCCACCCCCUUAAUCAGACUUUAAAAGUGCUUAACUCCUUAAACUUGUUUUUUACUUGAAGUAUUUUGGGAUGGUCUUAACAGGGAAGAGAGAGGGUGGGGGAGAAAAUGUUUUUUUCUAAGAUUUUCUACAGAUGCUAUAGUACUAUUGACAAACUGGGUUAGAGAAGGAGUGUACCGCUGUGCUGUUGGCACGAACACCUUCAGGGACUGGAGCUGCUUUUAUCCUUGGAAGAGUAUUCCCAGUUGAAGCUGAAAAGUACAGCACAGUGCAGCUUUGGUUCAUAUUCAGUCGUCUCAGGAGAACUUCAGAAGAGCUUGAGUAGGCCAAAUGUUGAAGUUAAGUUUUCCAAUAAUGUGACUUCUUAAAAGUUUUAUUAAAGGGGAGGGGCAGAUAUUGGCAAUUAGUUGGCAGUGGCCUGUUACGGUUGGGAUUGGUGGGGUGGGUUUAGGUAAUUGUUUAGUUUAUGAUUGCAGAUAAACUCAUGCCAGAGAACUUAAAAGUCUUAGGAUGGAAAAGGUAAAGAAAUACCAAUUUCAAGUUGGCAAGUAACUCUCAAUGAUUUAGUUUUUGUUUCCCCCAGUUUUUGAAUUGGGAAGCUGGGGGAAGUUAUAUAUGAGCCACUGGGUGUUCCAGUGCAUUAAUUUGGGCAAGGAAAGUGUCAUAAUUUGAUACUGUAUCUGUUUUCCUUCAAAGUAUAGAGCUUGGGGAAGGAAAGUAUUGAACGGGGGGUUGGUCUGGCCCACUGGGCUGACAUUAACUACAAUUAUGGGAAAUGCAAAAGUUGUUUGGAUAUGGUAGUGUGUGGUUCUCUUUUGGAAUUUUUUUCAGGUGAUUUAAUAAUAAUUUAAAACUACUAUAGAAACUUCAGAGCAAAGGAAGUGGCUUAAUGAUCCUGAAGGGAUUUCUUCUGAUGGUAGCUUUUGUAUUAUCAAGUAAGAUUCUAUUUUCAGUUGCGUGUAAGCAAGUUUUUUUUAGCAUAGGAGAAAUACUUUUCCAUUGUUUAACUGCAAAACGAUGUUAAGGUAUGCUUCAAAAAUUUUGUAAAUUGUGUAUUUUAAAUUUAUCUGUUUGUAAAUCGUAACUGAUUAAGAAUUGUGAUAGUUCAGCGUGAAUGUCUCUUAGAGGGUGGGCUUUUGUUGAUGAGGGAGGGGAAACUUUUUUUUUUUCUAUAGACUUUUUUCAGAUAACAUCUUCUGAGUCAUAACCAGCCUGGCAGUAUGAUGGCCUAGAUGCAGAGAAAACAGCUCCUUGGUGAAUGAUAAGUAAAGGCAGAAAAGAUUAUAUGUCAUACCUCCAUUGGGGAAUAAGCAUAACCCUGAGAUUCUUACUACUGAUGAGAACAUAUCUGCAUAUGCCAAAAAAUUUUAAGCAAAUGAAAGCUACCAAUUUAAAGUUAUGGAAUCUACCAUUUUAAAGUUAAUUGCUUGUCAAGCUAUAACCACAAAAAUAAUGAUGAGAAAUACAAUGAAGAGCCAAUGUCCAUCUCAAAAUACUGCUUUUACAAAAGCAGAAUAAAA